GAAAACUCCGGUGGUACGGGAUGAGCCCGCGUCCGAUUAGCCAGUUGGCGGGGUAACGGCCCACCAAAGCGACGAUCGGUAGCCGGCCUGAGAGGGUGGACGGCCACAUUGGGACUGAGACACGGCCCAAACUCCUACGGGAGGCAGCAGUGGGGAAUAUUGCACAAUGGGGGAAACCCUGAUGCAGCGACGCCGCGUGAGUGAAGAAGCGCCUCGGCGCGUAAAGCUCUGUCAGCAGGAACGAUAAUGACGGUACCUGAAGAAGAAGCCCCGGCUAACUACGUGCCAGCAGCCGCGGUAAUACGUAGGGGGCAAGCGUUAUCCGGAUUUACUGGGUGUAAAGGGAGCGUAGACGGCGGGGCAAGUCUGGAGUGAAAGGCCGGGGCCCAACCCCGGGACCGCUCUGGAAACUGCCCGGCUGGAGUGCGGGAGAGGUAAGCGGAAUUCCUAGUGUAGCGGUGAAAUGCGUAGAUAUUAGGAGGAACACCAGCGGCGAAGGCGGCUUACUGGACCGUGACUGACGUUGAGGCUCGAAAGCGUGGGGAGCAAACAGGAUUAGAUACCCUGGUAGUCCACGCCGUAAACGAUGAUCACUAGGUGUCGGGGGU
rnacentral:rRNA from 1 species